CAGCUAUACAUGAUGAUCACCCCAGCUUGAACUCUCUCACUGAUCACUUGAUGAUAAUUAAAGAUCUGAUAUUCUG
ensembl:snoRNA SNORD81 Small nucleolar RNA SNORD81